AGCAUGCUUAAAUUGUAUAUUAUUGCUUUUCUUAUUUUGUUUACUAACCAAAAGCACAAAAAUAUGUCACUAACAUCUUUUGUUUUGAAGCUUAAGCAGUCAUGUGAUACAAGGCUCCUAGGAGGCUCCUAUGCCCAUUGAAAUGGCCAGAUGAAGAUGAAAGCAAGCAUGAAAAUGAUUCCCAAAUAUCUCAAUCAUCAUAUAUUCCUCCCCAAGUAUCUCUAUUUGUCAAUUUGAUC
rnacentral:lncRNA from 1 species